UACGUAGGGUGCAAGCGUUGUCCGGAAUUAUUGGGCGUAAAGAGCUCGUAGGCGGUCUGUCACGUCGGAUGUGAAAACUCGGGGCUCAACCCCGAGCCUGCAUACGAUACGGGCAGACUUGAGUUCGGCAGGGGAGACUGGAAUUCCUGGUGUAGCGGUGAAAUGCGCAGAUAUCAGGAGGAACACCGGUGGCGAAGGCGAGUCCCUGGACAACUCCUGACACUGAGGCACGAAAGCUAGGGGAGCAAACAGG
rnacentral:rRNA from 1 species